AUUGAACGCUGGCGGCAGGAUUAACACAUUCAAGUCGAGCGGAGCGGCGGACGGGUGAGUAAUGCCUAGGAAUCUGCCUGGUAGUGGGGGAUAACGUCCGGAAACGGGCGCUAAUCCCGCAUACUAUCAGAUGAGCCUAGGUCGGCUUGGCGCGUUGGUGGGGUAAAGGCCUAACAAGGCGACGAUCCGUACCUGGGCUGGGAGGAGGAUCAGUCACACUGGAACGGAGACACGGUCCAGACUCCUACGGGAGGCAGCAGUGGGGAAUAUUGGACAAUGGGCGAAAGCCUGAUCCAGCCAUGCCGCGUGGGUGAAGAAGGUCUUCGGAUUGUAAAGCACUUUAAGUUGGGAGGCGUUACCAACAGAAUAAGCACCGACUAACUUCGUGCCAGCAGCCGCGGUAAUUC
rnacentral:rRNA from 1 species